rnacentral:rRNA from 1 species
UAGGGAAUCUUCCACAAUGGGCGGCAAGCCUGAUGGAGCAACACCGCGUGAGUGAAGAAGGGUUUCGGCUCGUAAAGACUCUGUUGUUAAAGAAGAACACGUAUGAGAGUAACUGUUCAUACGUUGACGGUAUUUAACCAGAAAGUCACGGCUAACUACGUAGCCAG